rnacentral:rRNA from 1 species
GAGUAACACGUAUCCAACCUGCCGAUAACUCGGGGCCUUNNAUUCGAAAGAAAGAUUAAUACCCGAUGGNAUAAUNAGACCGCAUGGUCUUNUUAUUAAAGAAUUUCGGUUAUCGAUGGGGAUGCGUUCCAUUAGGCAGUUGGUGAGGUAACGGCUCACCAAACCUUCGAUGGAUAGGGGUUCUGAGAGGAAGGUCCCCCACAUUGGAACUGAGACACGGUCCAAACUCAUACGGGAGGCAGCAGUGAGGAAUAUUGGUCAAUGGGCGCAGGCCUGAACCAGCCAAGUAGCGUGAANGGAUGACUGCCCNUAUGGGUUGUAAACUUCUUUUUAUAUGGGAAUAAAGUUUUCCACGUGUGGAAUUUUGUAUGUACCAUAUGAAUAAGGAUCGGCUAACUCCGUGCCAGCAGCCGCGGUAAUACGGAGGAUCCGAGCGUUAUCCGGAUUUAUUGGGUUUAAAGGGAGCGUAGGUGGACAGUUAAGUCAGUUGUGAAAGUUUGCGGCUCAACCGUAAAAUUGCAGUUGAUACUGGCUGUCUUGAGUACAGUAGAGGUGGGCGGAAUUCGUGGUGUAGCGGUGAAAUGCUUAGAUAUCACGAAGAACUCCGAUUGCGAAGGCAGCUCACUGGACUGCAACUGACACUGAUGCUCGAAAGUGUGGGUAUCAAACAGGAUUAGAUACCCUGGUAGUCCACACAGUAAACGAUGAAUACUCGCUGUUUGCGAUAUACAGUAAGCGGCCAAGCGAAAGCAUUAAGUAUUCCACCUGGGGAGUACGCCGGCAACGGGUGNAAACUCAAAGGAAUUGACGGGGGGCCCGCACAAGCGGAGGAACAUGUGGUUUAAUUCGAUGAUACGCGAGGAACCUUACCCNGGGCCUAAAUUGCAUUUGAAUAUUUUGGGAAACAGGNUAGCCGCAAGGCAAAUGUGAAGGUGCUGCAUGGUUGUCGUNCAGCUCGUGCCGGGAGGGGUCGGCUUAAGUGCCAUAACGAGCGCAACCCUUAUCUUUAGUUACUAACAGGUCAUGCUGAGGACUCUAGAGAGACUGCCGUCGUAAGAUGUGAGGAAGGUGGGGAUGACGUCAAAUCAGCACGGCCCUUACGUCCGGGGCUACACACGUGUUACAAUGGGGGGUACAGAAGGCAGCUACCUGGUGACAGGAUGCUAAUCCCAAAAGCCUCUCUCAGUUCGGAUCGAAGUCUGCAACCCGACUUCGUGAAGCUGGAUUCGCUAGUAAUCGCGCAUCAGCCAUGGCGCGGUGAAUACGUUCCCGGGCCUUGUACACACCGCCCGUCAAGCCAUGAAAGCCGGGGGUACCUGAAGUACGUAACCGCAAGGAGCUCCUAGG